AUGGACGUGCUCCUCCCCGACGACGUGCUCGCUUGCAUCCUCCGCCGCCUCAACCCGCGCAGCCUCGCGGCGUCCCGCUGCCUAUGCAAGGCGUGGCGCGACGUCGUGGACGCCCGGAGCCUGCUGCGCGCGGACCUCCUCCCGCUCUCGGUCUAUGGGAUCUUCUUUGUGGAGGAGGUGAUCCUGAGCAGCAUGCGAUUCUUCGCCCGCCCCCUGAUGGAGAUGGAGCACAAAAUCGCCGUCAGAUUCGACUACCUGGACGAGGACGUCCCCCGCCCAGACUACCACCAUCUGGAAGUAUUGGAUCACCGCAACGGCCUGCUCUUGCUCAGGGACUGGGUGGUUAACCCGGCGACCCGGCAGUGCACGCCUUUGCCCCCGCCCCCGCCUCUACGCGCGGGGAUGGAAGCUUUCUUUGACACCAGAUACCUUGUGUUUGAUCCCGCUGUAUCGCCGCACUACCAUGUGUUUUCGAUCCCUAGAGUCUUGCGCAGAACUGUUGAGCUAACCAAAUUCACCGACGAGACGGAAUGGCCGCCAUCGCCGUACACGCUCACCGUGUUCUCCUCGACAACACGGAGGUGGGAGGAGAGGUCUUUUGUUCGACAAGAAGGAGAAGCGGCCACACGGACUACCAUAGCUGAUAUCAACUUCUCUCCUCGGAAGCAACGCUACGCCGUCCACUGGCGGGAUGCGCUUUAUGUGCAUUCCCAAGACGAUUCCAUUAUACGUAUAACCUUGUCGACCCAUAAGUACCAAGUGAUUCCAUCUCCAAUAGGACGUCAAGUGACAUAUCUAGAAUCUCUCUACUUGGGGAAAUCCAUCCACGGCGUCUACUGUGCACUAAUCUUUAAUUUGGAGGAACGGCUACGGAUUUGGCUACUUAAUGAUGAUGAGGUACGCGGUCAAACAAAAUGGGUGCUCAAGAAUGACGUGAGCAUUCAACCACUCGUGGGAAUAACACAUCAACACUUUGGCCUUCAAAACAAUGGACUUUGGACUUUGCAAAACACUUCCUACGAACCAAUGGCGGAGCAGAAAUUUGAAUGGGAUCCUGACAGCGACAUUACCCUUGAAGCUGAGGCUAAGGCUCCAAUAGAUCACUUUCAUGAUGAUAUUCGUACCCUAGGAUUUCAUCCUUACAAGGAGAUUCUCUUCUUAUGGACAAAUUGCAAAAGAGUAGUAGCUUACCAUUUGAACAGUUCCAAGGCUCAAGACGUGGGAAAGUUACCCGUACCAUCGAUAGAAACGUCUUUUGUAUACACACCCUUGUUGGAUGGGGAAAUAUUAGGAAAAUAG
rnacentral:rRNA from 1 species